UAACCUGGACAGAUUGUUUGGAUCCAUCAGAGCUCCAACACAGAAGGAGAUGGAGGAAUAUUAUCCUCAUCACUGCCAGCACCACCACCUGCAGGAAUUAUUGCCCGCAGAGUGAAAGGAAUCCCUGCCAGGAUCUGAGAUACAAACAUGAGGACUUUGUAUCACUGUUACUUCCCAGUGAGACUGAUCAAGUAAAGGAAGUUUAUCUGUUCCUGAGAGAUGUGUAAGUCAGUCCCAGAGCCUUUUUGCUGGAGAUUAGGAAAGCUUGGCUUUAACCCAGGUUCAGGCAGCAUCCCACAUUGUGAAUUUGAAAGUUGGCUGGGCUUUGGAAUGAAGGUGCAGGAAACUUUGCGGACCUUGGAUGAAAAGUGCUGCAGUGUUUCCUAUGAGACAAAUCUUGGUUAUGUACUCAGACCAGAAAAUACCACAUCACAUGCUGGCACUCUUUAAGUGAUGGAUUUUUUCCUGUGCACAGUUUUUCUUUUCAUGAUAAACUUGGAAGCAAGUUCCACAGAAGCAGCUGGAGGCUGAAAACUAAGGUGAAUGUCAUAGCAAGGAUUUAUCAAAAGCAGGACUGACUGUAUUUUUGAAUGGAAUAUGCAGAGAGCAACAGAUUUUUAAACUAUCCUGGAGGUUAUAUGAGCAAAAAGACUGGUGCAUUCAGCAAUUUGAGUGGACAAGCUGCAAGCAGAGACCAAGAUGCAGCACUUGAGCCUCACAGUUCAGAAGCUUCAGAGCCAGCACCCUGCAGGAUUUUAUCUGCUGUGAUUUACAGGUUUCUAGUCCUGACUUCUGCUCACUUUGAAUGGAUGAAUGGGGGAGGACUAGCAGAGCCCAGGGGGCUUUUGGUGCUUAUGAAUAGUGGCAGGAAAAGAUCCCUUCCCACAUGA
rnacentral:lncRNA from 1 species